rnacentral:rRNA from 1 species
AUUGACCGCUGGCGGCAGGCUUAACACAUGCAAGUCGUGCGAGCGGCGGACGGGUGAGUAAUGUCUGGGAAACUGCUUGAUGGAGGGGGAUAACUACUGGACACGGUAGCUAAUACCGAAUACUAUCGGAUCUGCCCAGAUGGGAUUAGCUAGUAGGUGGGGGAAAGGCUCACCUAGGCGACGAUCCCUAGCUGGUCUGAGAGGAUGACCAGCCACACGGGAACUGAGACACGGUCCAGACUCCUACGGGAGGCAGCAGUGGGGAAUAUUGCACAAUGGGCGCAAGCCUGAUGCAGCCAUGCCGCGUGUAUGAAGAAGGCCUUCGGGUUGUAAAGUACUUUCAGCGGGGAGGCGUUACCCGCAGAAGAAGCACCGGCUAACUCCGUGCCAGCAGCCGCGGUAAUUC